CGCCCACCUCAGCCUCCCAAAGUGCUGGGAUUAUAGGCAUGAGCCACUGCGUCCAGCCUGCCUCUGGGCAUUUUGU
rnacentral:miRNA from 1 species